AAAUAAGAAGCAAAAUUUUUGCAUUUAGUUUCGACCUAAAAAUUUGAUAAUAUCCUUAUUUU
rnacentral:tRNA from 1 species